GCCCAACUCGUAAUUAUUUCAAAUAUAAAGGGCAAAUCUAGAAUUACAUCUAAUAUCCCAAUAUCCCGCGUUACUCACAAGUCACAAGCCAAAGCUACUUUACAAGAGAGUAAAGUAGUGUUUCUCUCUCCCACUGGAAACCCACUCAACAAAAGUUGGCCUAAGUUUGGAGAUAUUUUGGGAUCUGAAACCGAGAGAGAAUGAAUCACCACCACGAUCCUAACCCCUUCGAUGAAGAAGAAGUCAAUCCAUUUUCGAAUGGUGGUGCUGUCGCACCUGCACGACCACCGGCAUCUCUGGGCUUUGGGCAGAAACAUGAUGCUAAAGUGGAUAUACCACUGGAUACAAUGAAUGAUCCGAAGAAAAGAGUAAAGGAGCUUGCAGCUUGGGAAGCGGAUCUUAAAAGAAGGGAUAAGGACAUAAAGCGAAGGGAAGAUGCUGUUUCCCAAGCUGGUGUUCCUACAGAAGAUAAAAAUUGGCCACCGGUUUUCCCAAUCAUACAUCAUGAUAUAGCUAAUGAGAUACCGGUUCAUGCUCAGAGGCUGCAAUAUCUUGCAUUCGCAAGUUGGCUAGGCAUAGUUCUUUGUCUUGUUUUUAAUGUUAUUGCAGUAAUUGUCUGUUGGAUUCAAGGCGGUGGUGUUAAAAUUUUUUUCCUUGCUAUAAUCUACAUGUUGCUUGGAUGUCCUCUUUCUUAUGUUUUGUGGUACAGACCUCUCUACCGAGCAAUGAGGACAGAUAGUGCCUUGAAUUUUGGUUGGUUUUUCAUGUUCUACUUGCUUCAUCUUGGGUUUUGCAUUUUUGCUGCAAUAGCUCCUCCUGUUGUCUUUCAUGGGAAGUCAUUAACUGGUAUCCUGGCGGCAAUUGAUGUUAUAUCUAAUCAUAUGGUGGCAGGGAUUUUCUUCUUUGUUGGUUUUGGGCUGUUUUGCUUGGAGUCACUGUUAAGCCUGUGGGUUAUUCAGAAAAUUUACUUGUACUUUAGGGGGCACAAGUGAGAUGUGAAGUGAGGCUGCGGUCCUCCUAUUUGGAAUUUUGCUGAUGCCAAAUCUCAGUGUAGAUGUUGCAGUUUUACUUUGAGAGAGAGGUCUUCAAUUAAUUUCCAGUUCUUCACCAUCCUUUUACCUCGCCUGAUUUUUUUUUAGUAAGAAUUUACUUACAUUAGAGUAAGUUUUACAUUUUUCAUCAUUAAAUCAAAAUUAAAUUCAUGAUUAAUUUGGAUCAAAAUAACACUUUUAAUCUUUGUCUUUUUGAUUUUGAUCUAAAGGUAAAAAUUCAAGAAAUAUAAGAAUUAUGCUAAGUGGAUUUUUCUUAUUUUUUGUUUAGCAUAAUACGAUGUUUACCUAUAAGGAAGACAGGUGGUCGAGGUGACGCUGCACCCGGUGAAGAGCAUAGUGGUGUCGCAGUUAGUGUAAAUGAUUGAACCAAGAAUUCUCCGGUCUGCAUUUAAGUACUGGACAUGGCAUUAACGGUACACCCCCAUCAAAUAGGUCAGGAUCCAUUUCAUUUAUCAAAUAUAGAGGUCUUAUAAAAAGGUUUUGCUCCAUGUGAUAGAACACUAUAGUCAAAGAUCGGUUUCAUUUGUUUGAUAUGACAACCUAAAAAGGUAUUUGCCUGAUAC